CGACGCCGAGACAGCGGGCGCCGGCUCUCGAGCAGCAGGUCCUCUGGAGGUCCCCGGGCUCUCCCAGGUCCCGGAUGUCUCCUGGACCACUGGCCCGUCCCCUUAGAGCAGACCGUAUUCUGGGCUGACCCGGCCUCCCUCUUCAGUGCUUCGGGAAAGCGGAGGACUCCCCGCACACGGCCGGCGGGAGACAGGACUUUGGCCAGGUGUCUCAGGACCUGAAGCAGAGCUGAGAGAUGCCGCCGGAGCGCCUGGAGGGGGCCUGCCUUUUGGAGACGCGCCGUGGGCGGUGAAGAGUGC